GUGUCAGCAGCCGCGGUAAUACAGAGGGUGCAAGCGUUAAUCGGAUUUACUGGGCGUAAAGCGUGCGUAGGCGGCCAAUUAAGUCAAAUGUGAAAUCCCCGAGCUUAACUUGGGAAUUGCAUUCGAUACUGGUUGGCUAGAGUAUGGGAGAGGAUGGUAGAAUUCCAGGUGUAGCGGUGAAAUGCGUAGAGAUCUGGAGGAAUACCGAUGGCGAAGGCAGCCAUCUGGCCUAAUACUGACGCUGAGGUACGAAAGCAUGGGGAGCAAACAGGAUUAGAAACCCUUGUAGUCC
rnacentral:rRNA from 1 species